GACGAACGCUGGCGGCGUGCCUAACACAUGCAAGUCGAACGGGGCUGAUUCCUUCGGGGAUCAGCUUAGUGGCGAACGGGUGAGUAACGCGUGAGAAACCUGCCUUUCAGUGGGGGACAACAGUUGGAAACGACUGCUAAUACCGCAUGAUGCAGCGAGGGGGCAUCCCCUUACUGCCAAAGCUUUAUGUGCUGAAAGAUGGUCUCGCGUCUGAUUAGCUAGUUGGUGGGGUAACGGCUCACCAAGGCGACGAUCAGUAGCCGGUCUGAGAGGAUGAACGGCCACAUUGGGACUGAGAUACGGCCCAGACUCCUACGGGAGGCAGCAGUGGGGAAUAUUGGGCAAUGGGGGAAACCCUGACCCAGCAACGCCGCGUGAAGGAAGAAGGCCUUCGGGUUGUAAACUUCUUUAGCUAGGGACGAAGAACGUGACGGUACCUGCAGAAAAGACAACGGCUAACUACGUGCCAGCAGCCG
rnacentral:rRNA from 1 species